AUGUUGUCGAGAAAACUUAGCUUAUAUAUACUUAGUUUUAAGCAAGGGCACAGAUACCCUACAUAAAGAAAAAAGAGAGAAGAAAAAUGGCCACACUAUGAAAAGACAAGAAGGUCACAUUAGUUUGAGCAGUCGAAGAAAGAGCGGGGAGAAAAGACGAAGCGAAAUAAAACGCAACCAACGCCUAAGUACCUAUGAAGAUAAGCGGUUGUGUUUUAUCCGCAAUUUUCACUUUCCUGGACUCAACAUCUUUUAUUUCGCUUCUUGGAAGCCAAUGACGCUAGAGUUCUUGGAGUUUGUAUGAAGACGGGCAGAGACUCGUGGUGCAAGCACUGAAGUAUACUGGACAUUGGAGAAGCGACGGAACCCACAAGGAGACGGUCAUCUCGCUCGUGGGUGGAUAAUAAACAUUGCAGAACACGGAGGCCAACGUGGGUGCGCACGUCAGGCAGCUGAAAAAAGCGCACAUUUAUAUGUACAAGUUAACACAAUCGAUCGAAAAAAUAUAUAAAAACAAGAUCAGCCGUUAUACAGGGGAUGUUGCCCAGCGACACCGGAGUUUUGGGUACGCAACAAUGUUCCAGAACGAGCAGUGAGCGUCGGGAGUGCUGGGAACUUACUUGUAAGAGUAGAGUAGUUCGGGGGAGAAAUUAACCGCGUCGGCCGUCGCCACGCCUAUCUCAAACCGAAUAAAAUAAAAUAAAAAUUGAAAGAAAUAAAAUUAAAAUUGGCGCCCAACUAAUUCGAACCCACGGCAAAACCUGAACCAGCGGCAAAAAUUAAAAACCAAUACACGCAAUUGAACAUAAAAAAAAAAAACAGAUCCAGCAGCAUCUGGAA